AGGCGGAUAGUCAAGCUAGGGGUGAAAGCCCGGGGCUCAACCCCGGAACUGCCUCUGGAACUGGCUAUCUGGAGUCUUGGAGGGGAGUGCGGAAUUCCUAAUGUAGAGGUGAAAUUCGUAGAGAUUAGGAGGAACACCAGUGGCGAAGGCGGCACUCUGGACAAGUACUGACGCUGAGACGCGAAAGCGUGGGGAGCAAACAGGAUUAGAUACCCUGGUAGUCCACGCCGUAAACGAUGGAUGCUAGCCGUCGGGCCUUAGGUUCGGUGGCAACGCUAACGCAUUAAGCAUCCCGCCUGGGAACUACGAUCGCAAGAUUAAAACUCAAAGGAAUUGACGGGGACCCGCACAAGCGGUGGAGCAUGUGGUUUAAUUCGAGGCAACGCGAAGAACCUUACCAGGGCUUGACAUGCCGGUCGCGGAUCGCAGAGAUGCUUUCCUUCAGCUUGGCUGGACCGUGCACAGGUGCUGCACGGCUGUCGUCAGCUCGUGUCGUGAGAUGUUGGGUUAAGUCCCGCAACGAGCGCAACCCUUGUCCUUAGUUGCUACCAUUUAGUUGAGCACUCUAAGGAAACUGCCGGAGUUAAUCCGGAGGAAGGUGGGGAUGACGUCAAGUCUUCAUGGCCCUUAUGUCCUGGGCUACACACGUGCUACAAUGGUGGAUACAGAGGGCAGCGACACAGCAAUGAGGAGCGAAUCCCUAAAAACCGCCCCAGUUCGGAUUGUGGGCUGCAACUCGCCCGCAUGAAGUCGG
rnacentral:rRNA from 1 species